UCCCAGCAGUCCAAGUCGCAGCCACAUUUGUUGGGUCUAAAAUAUCCGUAGCUAGCCAUUCAAGUCUCUUGUGAAAUCAGGACUCUUAAGGUUCUGGCGUGCAAGAGAUACUGUUUGGCUUGAGACCGGGAGACGCAAGAAGUACAUUUAGGGUACCGGUAAAAUGGGUUGAUCCUAUAUGGACUAACAAUAGCGAAGGCAUCUUGCGAGAACGGUUCUGACAGUGAGGGAUGAAGGCUAGGGGCGCAAAGUG
rnacentral:rRNA from 1 species